CGAGCGCAAAAGCCCGCCCGCUCCAGCCUGCACACGGUGACGCGUUAAUCAAAAAACUGGCUGCAAACUAUCAAACAAUCAAGAGUUACCAGUCCCACCCUGAUUCACAUCUAUGUGUUUGUCACUUUUGCACACGGCUAAACUAACUGUGACGUGUCUGUGUGAAAAUGCACGUGCUCCCCCUGUCUGCACUCGGCGAGGAUGCUGGCAAGACGACAGUAAACAGAAGAUUUGAUUUGCACUCGCUGUUGACCGGGAGUAUUUUUCCAUUACCCAUCACUUCAUUAUAACUGAGAAGUAACGAGUGCAGAGUCUCUUUGGGUUUUGGGGGUGAAGAUCGUUCAAGCAUUAAAAUGCCAAACAAACGCGCAUUCAGAGCACAGCUAUGCUCACACAAGUGGACGUUUAAUUUUCUGUGAAAUAGCCUACCUUUCUUAAUAAAUAAUGUGUCAUUUAUAAUGA